CACCCGCUUCCUUCCUCCCUCCCUCCUCUCUCGUCGUCACUCCGCUGCUUGGGCGAAGGCUGUGUGGCUUUCAUGUUCCUCUCUCUCUCCAAACCUCAUGUGCCCGCGGAGGUGCCCGGGGACUAGCCCCUGCUUCUCUCCCUCACUUCCCAGUUAUAAAAACAGUCGUUGAAAAUAGGUCAUCUUUCUUCCCACGCGCACUGGCCAUCUUCCACAUGCUCCGUGCCCUACUAGGGAGAAGAAUUCAGUGCUGUGGAGUUUGUCAUUCCGGCAUCAAACUCUUCCUCCUCGUGGCUCCGGCCUGGCAAUGCAACUCUGCAGCCUCUCUCCCCAGUUUUUACGGGGGCAGGCGGGGGGUGGGGAUUAGGGUCGGGCGCCACUGGCCGCGGGAGGGCCUUUACCCUCUCCUUGUGUUGACAGAUUUAGAAUCGCUUGGAGUGUAUUGUUUUGCACUUGCAAUUGAAGGAGGUGAUGUUUCAAAAGCAAAAAUACUUUUCAAGUGUGUCGACAGGUGAAUUUCGCUUUUAAGAAACUCCGAAGAGUUAACCUUUUAGCGGUGGAUCAGUCCAUAGCCUGGUUGUGGUGUGGUUACAUCAGCUGAAUGCGUUUGUCAAAAUUCGUAGACCUCGACACUGAAAAGUGUGAAUUUUAUCUUAUGUAAAUGAUACCUCUUCCCCCACCUUUUCUUCUGGGGGGGGGAGGAAUGCUCUUUCAAAGCUGAAGGAACUAGUAAUGAUUUUGGAGAGUUUUAAGGGAAUGCAUUUAACUUAAGAAUAUAGCAAAAUAAAAGCAGCUUUUCUCUGUACCACUAAAAUUUGGCAAGACUUGCUUGAACCAUGAUAUAUUGUGUCUGUUCAGGCUACUAUGCAUGCAGUCUCAUCUUACCAAAUUAGUCCCCAGGGCUGCUGUGAUUGAUAUUUUGGUAAAGUUCCAGUAAUUUAGGGAGAAGUUUUUCUCUGGCCCAAGGAAGUAAUUUGCAGAGUGAAGUUCUUAAACAGCUACAGAACAACUUUUUUUAUUGGGACCCCAAACAACCUCAGUUUUACUUCUGCUGCUCCUUCCUAUCUGCCCUCUUUUCUAUAGAUUCAGAAUUGUGAGUUAAUAUCUGAAAUGAAGCUCUAGUCUGAACGAAUAAAAUGCUGCUGCUUUUCUCUGGUGAUUCUGGAAUAGGAGUGAUGUUGGACUUGAAAAUUAAAACCUUAAUGCCUACAUAUGCUGUAGAAGUGAAAGUUUCUGUUCAGUUCUGCCAAUAGGAGUACAAUAAAUUGUCGGAAAGAAAGUUAACACUUACUGGGCUGCUUUUCCAUGUGGGGAACACGUAGGCCACAUUUUAAUUGAUGAUUAAACCUUUGCUCUAGAAGCCACUGGAAAAUGAGAAACCUGUUAAGGUUUUUUUGGUAAAGUUCAACCACUGGAAAACUUUUCUGAGAGCUGUGAUAACUGGUCACAACUGUUUCCUGAAAACUUGCUGCUCUCAGAGUUCCCUUGUGGUGUGGCGGGUUCAGGAUCUGGCAUUGUCACCUCUGCGGCUUGGGUCGUUGCUGUGGUGCAGGUUCCAGCCUUUGGCCUGAGAACUCCACAUGCCACAGGCGAGGCCAAAGAAAAUCAAAAACAAACCCAACAAAAACUGUCAGCUCCCAGUAUCUAGAAGAAAAGGGCAAAGGAGAUGACAGCUGGAGGAGAGUAUCAACCACAGAGCCUACACGCAGUAAAUAGUUAGUAGAUAAUCACUGAGUUCCGUGGGAACCAGGUACAUAGUUUGUGGCGCAUGGAGUUUUAGUAAAAGUCUGAGUAAAAAUCUGACCUCCUGGCUCAGAGUUUCUCUUAUUCCUUUUACCAGAUGUCAGUUUAGUCUGAAGUUUUCCACGUCUCUUAAAAUGUUUGAAUCACACAGUCUCCUUUUUUUCUUAUCUCUAAUUUGCAGUAACCUUUAGGAAUGUAACUAAUAAUGCUAAUGUAUCUAUUUUGGUGUAGUUUGAUAAACAUCUGUGGCUGUGAGGUUUUUUUGUUUUUGUUUUUUUCUAUCUUCAGAAAGUCCUUUAUCUGUCCCUGGCUGCAGGGCUUGGUACUUCGGUUAGGGGUGAGGAGAAGUUUCAAGUGUGUUUUCUUGUCCCUAAGUCUCGGGGAUGAAGCCUACAAGGGAAUAGGAGUUAUAUGUUACUAUGGCAUGACCAAGUUUUCACAAAAUAGUGAAGAGUGAAUUGAAUAUACCUUUAUUCCUAUAGUCCUUUGGAAGUUGCUUGUGGCCAGUUUUUGUCUUCUCAGAUAACAAAGUAUUAUAUUUGGGCCCAUGACUUUAUCAGAAAAAAUAUUUUGAUUUGUUGUGAAUCCUUUUUGGUUUUUUUCCCUGCAGUUAAAGAAGUGUUUAUCUUGGAUAUCAGCUCGUUCUGAGCCAUAGUUAACCACCUAAGAGUACCAGGCUAAGGAUUCCUUGCUGUUUAGUUUUUCUAGUUUUCCCUUUUGUUGCAGGUACAGGUGUAUUGAACUAGGCUUCUGUACAUUGGAUUUCCUCAUGCUAUCCCAUUUUCCUACUCAUAAAAUUGGAGAUUGUUAAAUAUUUUGAUCUGCAGAUAUAACUAAUAUAAUGUUUUUCCUCAAAGUAAAAAUUCAUUUCUAACGAAAUAGUAAUACUCAUAUUUUUCUAUUCCGAGGGAGUUGAGGCUUUUUUUUUGUCACUUAAUAGUCUUAACGGGAAACAAGAUUACUUAACAGAACUGGCAAGAUUAGCAGUCCUUUUUGUUAUUAAAUUCAUCUAGCAACUCAAGCCAGAGAUUAGCUGUGUGGACUCCAUUUCCAAUUGGGAGUUUCCUCUAGGUUUAGAAAUAAACAGAUCAUAAAACCGAGGUACAAACACAGCUGUUGACAGUUUUCAACUGAAAUAAAUUUGAAUGGAAGAAGAAUGCUUCUAAAUGAUGAUAAAAUUUAAAUACCAAACUUAGGCCUUGGAAAUUUUUUCUUUCUUAUUCAAGUCCUUUCCAAGUAGACGUUAAUUAAUAAUUACGGUAAAUCCGAACACUCUUGGCUGGCAAUGGAAGAUGAUUCCACCUCUGAAGUUCAGAUUUGGAGAGGGGUCUGAGUGAUGCUGAUAACCAAGCCAAAGUGAAAGGUUAACCCCUUCACAUGCCGAGGCUCAGUGAUGGGGGAGGAGAGGGCAGAGGAGCAGGGCAGGCAGAAAUGCCCUCUGUAUUUCUUGGAAGGACUAACACAUUGUCUUGAAACGUAGAUAAUCAGGUAUCUACCUAGAACUCAAUAAAUACUGCAACAUUUUAGGCUUAUUACCUAUCUGCCUCCACUGAAUUUCGCUUUCCACUUUGUUUAGGACACAAUUCAUUCCAGCAUAGGGUCUGAAAAUGCUGUGACUAAGUCGUUUAAAGGUUUCAGUUUCAGAAAGUAGACAGGACUCUUCAGUAGCAAUAGUUUUCUCUUAAGCACAGUUAAGAGAAAGUAACUGUUAGUGCUGGCAAAUACUCAAAGACGCUUUUACCAUAAGUUUUGGACAUUUUGCUCAUGUCCCAAAUUUAAGCUGAGGCCACUUUUGUAUUUUUGGACAAGGCCAGUGUAAUGGCUCUAUCCUUUUAAAAGCCCAGUGAGAUACAGCCUUUGCUUGGUGUGUGUUAGAACCGCAAAGGAAUACUGUUAUUUUGAAUUUCAGAGAUAGUGACCCUCCAGAGGCUUCUAAGCGGGCUGAUUUUGCAUUGAAUCCCUGAAAUACUCUUGGGCAUCAGUAUCGUCUGUCUGACAAGGAGGUGAGCUGGUGAGGUUUUGCCACCAGCUGUCUAAUCACGUUGCCUAAGCUUACUAACUCCUCUAAACUUGAGCUUUCUCGUCUGUAAAGUGGGCAUAAUAUUUCCUUUAUCCAGUGUGUAAAAUACUCACUUCAAUUCCUGAUACAGAAAAUGCCUGAAUGAUGGGGUUAUGGCGAAGCCAGUCAUGUUGGGGACCUGUCACAGGGAACACAUAGUUUCAACAGCUCAGUAACAAACACCGGGGCACUUAGCAUGGAUAAUUUUUGCCCUUAGGUUCAUCAACUCAGUUGUUUAAUAUAGGACAUUUCCCGUCGUGGCUCAGUGGUUAACGAAUCCGCCUAGGAACCAUGAGGUUGUGGGUUCUAUCCCUGGCCUUGCUCAGUGGGUUAAGGAUCCAGCGUAGCCGUGAGCUGUGGUGUAGGUUGCAGACGCGGCUCGGAUCCCGUGUUGCUGUGGCUCUGGUGUAGACUGGUGGCUACAGCUCCAAUUCGACCCCUAGCCUGGGAACCUCCCUAUGCUGCAGGAGCGGCCCAAGAAAUGGCAAAAGAAAGAAAAAAAAAAGAAAGAAACAGGCACUGAAUGAAAGUACGAAUUCCCUGGUACACCCGGCUGGUAGAAAAGUAAGGCUCUACUGAUCUUCCUCAACUUAUGAUGAGGUUCCAUCCUGAUAAACCCGUCAUAUGUUGAAAAUGUCAUUGAAGAAAAUGCAUUUAAUACACCCGACUUUGUAGCAAACAUCACAGCUUAGUCUUGCCUACCUUAAACACGCCCAGAACACUUAAUUUGCCUACCUACAGUUGAGCAAAAUCAUCUAACACAAAGCCUAUUUUAUAGUAAAGUGCUAAAUAGCUCAUGCAAUUUAUUGAAUACUGAA
ensembl:lncRNA